UACACUUAGUGAGUUGCUUCCUCCCUUCUCAUACUGCUGAGUCUACAUUUAAGCAUUCAUUCUUCACAGGAGGACCGACACGACAGAUUGACCUAUCCGCUGAUGCGAAUUGACAAAGAGGACUCAAAGGCCAUAACUGCGGUGUUGGAGAACCACUUAUUUGAGGUGACGGACGGAUUGGGCACUUCAUUGAUUUGAAGUACGAUAUAAAGUCUGCCUUGGCUUUGGAUCUCAUCACAAAUGCAUUCUGUCAGUUCCUCAAGGCUCUUCUCACAUCAUGUGGUGACAUUUGCGUCCAGUGUUAUAUAGCCCUGUCACAUGGAAGAGGUGGAGGAGACCAGCUUACUAAAAAGAAACACUGCCUCUAUUGCUGUCAUCAACAGCCAGCUGGCUGAAAUCAAGCCACCACACAGCUCCACGAGACUCCCAAGGGCACUGAGCACACGCCUAUUCUGGAAGGCUUCCGAAUGGCGCCACUGGCUGCUGUACCACUCGCUUCCCUGCAUGUACAGGGUCCUUCUGGACCAAUACUGGCCGUACAUAAAGAAGCUGGUGGAGGCCGUCCAUGCACUUUUGAGGGACACCGUAACUCCAGCAUCCAUUGAUGUUGCACGCGAGUUCUCCCCCUUCGGUUUCUUUGUGUCCUGCUUCGGGCCAGCUUUAAUAAUGUCAUAUUGUGCUUUCAGAGAAACUCCUCUGGACCUUUGUGGGCAUGACAGGGAGGCUGUAUGGAGCUCCAGCAAUGACGUUCAGCCUGCACCAGUUACUCCACCUAGCGGAAGCAGUGCAGCAACUGGGGCCAUUGUGGGGCCAUUCUGCUUUUGAAUUUGAAAGCGGUAACGGGCAGCUUGUGAAGCUGCUGAAAGGAUCAAAUGCUCUUCCGGAAAGGGUAGUGAAGUAUCAGCAGUUGGGAUCAAACUUUGGUGUCCUCGCUUCUAAGUGACAGCGUCAAAGUGAUGUGCUGUGAUAUUCUGGGAUACACUAAACACCAAAACUUCAAGUAUGCAAACGAAGUGUGCCUGCUCGGUUCCUCUUCGAAGGCAUCCUUGAGCAAAGAGGAACAGAGUUGUCUUUCCGCUGGAUCUGGGGCCGCCUUUGAUCAGGCUACAGAGUACAAGCACUUCGCAUGGAAAGGGCAGAUUUGUCACAGCCGAAACUAUGCCAGGAGUAAAAAGACAGACUCCUAGG
rnacentral:lncRNA from 1 species